CCAGACUCCUACGGGAGGCAGCAGUGGGGAAUAUUGGGCGAUGGGCGCAAGCCUGACCCAGCAACGCCGCGUGAAGGAAGAAGGCCCUCGGGUUGUAAACUUCUUUUAUCAGGGACGAAACAAAUGACGGUACCUGGGGAGGAAGCUCCGGCUAACUACGUGCCAGCAGCCGCGGUAAUACGUAGGGAGCGAGCGUUGUCCGGAAUUACUGGGUGUAAAGGGAGCGUAGGCGGGACUGCAAGUUGGGUGUCAAAUCUACCGGCUCAACCGGUAGCCGCACUCAAAACUGCAGUUCUUGAGUGAAGUAGAGGCAGGCGGAAUUCCUAGUGUAGCGGUGAAAUGCGUAGAUAUUAGGAGGAACACCAGUGGCGAAGGCGGCCUGCUGGGCUUUUACUGACGCUGAGGCUCGAAAGUGUGGGGAGCAAACAGGAUUAGAUACCCCUGUA
rnacentral:rRNA from 1 species